rnacentral:rRNA from 1 species
GACGAACGCUGGCGGCGUGCUUAACACAUGCAAGUCGAGCGGUAAGGCCCUUUCGGGGGUACACGAGCGGCGAACGGGUGAGUAACACGUGGGUGACCUGCCCUCAGCUCUGGGAUAAGCCUGGGAAACUGGGUCUAAUACCGGAUAUGACUCCAUGACGCAUGUUGUGGGGUGGAAAGCCUUGUGCGGCUGGGGAUGGGCCCGCGGCCUAUCAGCUUGUUGGUGGGGUGANGGCCUACCAAGGCGACGACGGGUAGCCGGCCUGAGAGGGCGACCGGCCACACUGGGACUGAGACACGGCCCAGACUCCUACGGGGGCAGCAGUGGGGAAUCUUGCGCAAUGGGCGAAAGCCUGACGCAGCGACGCCGCGUGAGGGAUGACGGCCUGGUGUAAC